ensembl:lncRNA
CAGCCAGCAUUAACAACCAUACAUGUGAGAUCCACAAUGUCCACUCCUGCUCCCCCGAACAAGAAUCCAGUCCAGAGGCGUAGUGGUCUGAGACCCAGACUGCCUGUGCUGAGAACAGAGGUACGUCCUCAGUUCUAGAGAAAUCGGGUAAGACUUCUUACUAGAGGACAUGAUCAGGUCCAAUAUUAAUCAUAGCUUUUAGAAUACGCUAUUGAGACAGGCAGAAAACAAAAUUUAAAUUAGCCUCAAAUAGGUAUGAUUUCCAUAGAAGCAAUUAGAGCCAUUUCUUUUUACAGCAACUGAAUGAAUGUAUCAACAGCUCCUUUUCUGCUGCCCAAAUGCCUCCUGUUUGCAGAUGAGAAAAUUACUGUUGUCUCCAUCAUGAGCGCUAAAUUAUAUUUAUGUAAUUCCCAUCUGCUCCACCACUUCCAUACUCUUCAUGUGACUUCAUUCACUCCCAGCAGAGGCAUGUUAAUAGCAAAUGUUGAAUGAUGAAUUAUUUCUCACGGGAAAGACAGUUAAUUUCACUGACUCCCAUGUGUCACAAUUCAAUGCAUCACCCAGUAUGGGGAAGCAGACCUGUGGAGAGGAAACCACAAAAGAGACAAAUCAAUGCAAAAGCUCUGUGAUCCAAAGCUAAGGUCAUUUUAAAUGGAAUAAAAAGGCACUCCAGGGCUUUAGUUAUUAUACCACAAUCACAUGCCACUGUGCCCUCAACUGUAAUUAGAGCACAAUCAUACACAUCCUAGAAUGUUUUCUUUAAGUGGCAUUGAAAGCUGAGGGAAGGAUAAAAAAUAUUUGUCAAGUAAGUACUGAGAUUUUUUAAAAAAAAUACAGUAAAUGCAACAUUGAUGAAAAAAUCCAUUUUAUAUUUUCCCUUACAAUUUCUAAUUUUACUUUGCUUAUCCCUACCUCUGCUAGUCACCAGAAACAAAACAUUCCACUAAAUGGCAUUGCUAUUAAUAAGCUUUUUGCUGUGGGGUUUCAGACAACUAGCAAUCAUGGGGCCAUUUCUUAUUUUAGAGGUCAUAUAGUUUGACUCCAAGCUCUUUGGUGGUAGGGAUCAGGUGAUGCAUUUCUUGGGAGGCACAGCAGGGGAGGUAUUGAUGGGAACUGGGUUCCUAACUCAAGAUAGGAAGCAUUUCUGGGAGGAUAGGAGAGCAAUUUAUGCAAAAUGUUUUACGGCUUCGGGCCCUAGUGGUUUGCUAGUUCUUCUACUGUGUGCAUCCUUCACUAAACAUCUUUCCUUGCAGUGAUUUGAAUCAGUUUGUUUCCCUUGUAUCAUAAAGCCCCCAACUUGAAGAGUAGUAAAGUGUCAAGUUGUAUCAUAACCUAUCAAAAAGAACAGGCAAGUACACCCUUAGGCUCCAUGAGGUGUUCUCUAUGAAUACAGCUUCUGUACGUUAGCAGGAAUCAUACUUCCAUCUUUCAUUCCAAAUUACUUGUUUCUGUCCAUAUUUCUUAAGCUAAACAUAACCGAGGCUAGAAGGCAGAAGAGUAUCCAGGGAAAGACCUUGUAAGUAAUCUUAGUUCACUUGGCCUCUGUCUGUUUGGCAAGGUUACCCCUGACAUAUGUGACUGACUGAAAGGUCCCUGUUGAGCCAGACUGUAGAGUUCUCAGAAAUCACAGAGUCUGUUUUUUUACAGGAAUCAUGAUGGUGAGGAAUAUAUUAACUGAAGCUUUUGGGGAAUGUGUUAGUCUGAAUUCUUUCUAAAUUAUAAUUGCUUUUUGAAGGUGGAGAGAAGGAGAAAAAAGGCUGGGCAUGACUGAGGUAAAAGGGGACUGGAAGAGAGAGGAUGUGAAAGAGAUCACAAUCUAGAGAGAGAAAAAAUUGUGUGGAAACAGAUAUGAGUUCAAUGUUCCUCUUUAGGGGAAAAUAGGAAAUGGGUUUUAAAAAAAAGAAAAGAAAAAAUGUUCACUAGACCUAAAGAAAAGAUAUUUUAAUGUUUGCCUCUAAUUGCAUAAUACUAUCAUCAGAAAGAAUUCAAU